rnacentral:snRNA from 1 species
GGAUGUGAGGGCGAUCUGGCUGCGACAUCUGUCACCCCAUUGAUCGCCAGGGUUGAUUCGGCUGAUCUGGCUGGCUAGGCAGGUGUCCCCUUCCUCCCUCACCGCUCCAUGUGCGUCCCUCCCGAAGCUGCGUGCUCGGUUGAAGAGGACGACCUUCCCCGAUAGAAGGAAGACCGUCCUUCGGUCAAGGGUAUACGAGUAGCUGCGCUCCCCUGCUAGAACCUCCAAACAAGUCUCAAGAAUCUCAACAGACCCAGAGCAAUAGAAGAAAUAGACAAGGUUCUCAAGGGAUUACCAACAAAAAAGUCAUCUGGACCAGAUGGCUUCAUAGGAGAAUU